rnacentral:rRNA from 1 species
ACGCUCGACACCUACGGGAGCCAGCAGUGGGGAAUAUUGCACAAUGGGGGAAACCCUGAUGCAGCGACGCCGCGUGGAGGAAGAAGGUCUUCGGAUUGUAAACUCCUGUUGUUGGGGAAAAAGAGGAUGGUACCCAACAAGGAAGUGACGGCUAACUACGUGCCGCAGCCGCCGGUAAGUACUGAGCGGGCGUGGCGAAGGACG